rnacentral:rRNA from 1 species
AUGAACGCUGGCGGCGUGCCUAAUACAUGCAAGUCGAGCGAACAGACGAGGAGCUUGCUCCUCUGACGUUAGCGGCGGACGGGUGAGUAACACGUGGAUAACCUACCUAUAAGACUGGGAUAACUUCGGGAAACCGGAGCUAAUACCGGAUAAUAUAUUGAACCGCAUGGUUCAAUAGUGAAAGACGGUUUUGCUGUCACUUAUAGAUGGAUCCGCGCCGCAUUAGCUAGUUGGUAAGGUAACGGCUUACCAAGGCGACGAUGCGUAGCCGACCCGAGAGGGUGAUCGGCCACACUGGAACUGAGACACGGUCCAGACUCCUACGGGAGGCAGCAGUAGGGAAUCUUCCGCAAUGGGCGAAAGCCUGACGGAGCAACGCCGCGUGAGUGAUGAAGGUCUUCGGAUCGUAAAACUCUGUUAUUAGGGAAGAACAAAUGUGUAAGUAACUAUGCACGUCUUGACGGUACCUAAUCAGAAAGCCACGGCUAACUACGUG